CCCUAUGGGGUGCCCCAGCGCCGGCUGGGCGGGAUCGCUGAGCCGUUCGGCGAGGUAGUCCACCAGCAGCCGCACCUUGGGGGAGAGGUGGCGAUUGUGGGGAUAGAGGGCCCAGAUCCCCUCCUCUGGCGCCCGCAGCUCCGGCAACAGUUCAAUGAGAUCCCCCCGGACGAGGUGGUCGCUCACGUAGUAGUCCGGCAACUGAAGGAUGCCGAUCCCCUUGAGGGCCGCAUCCAGCAGGGCGUGGCCGCUGUUGCAGUGGAGCAGGCCGCGUACCCGCACGCUGUGGGGUUUAUCGUCCAGGGUGAAGUGCCACUCGGCGCCGUUGCCCACCAGACAGGUGUGACGGGCCAGCUCCGAGAGGCUGUAGGGGAUGCCGUGACGGGAGGAAUUGGCGGGAGGGC
rnacentral:rRNA from 1 species